AAUGACCGAAGCUUCAAGACUUUGACAUGUGUGAAAACAUGAAAUGACCCUUGGCUCUUAUUGUUCUUGCUGGUGUGGUAUGUUCACGGCUGAAAAGAUGGUCAGAAGGGGAAAGGAGGAAGUGAGAAGAAAGAAACAGGGAAAUGCAGGAAUGAUUGAGAUGAGCAGAGCAUCAUUUCAAAUUCUCUCAUAAGACUGGAUUGUAAAUCACUUACUGUCAAGACGGUGGCCAGUUGCCAUUCAACUAUAAUUAAUUCAUACACUAUUGCUAUUGACAUGUUUCUCAG
rnacentral:lncRNA from 1 species